ACCUCGAUUUGGGGUCGGAUUCUAAAACUAAUUAUAUAUUCGGGCUCGGGGUGAAUGGGUUUUGGUCAAAACCUCGAGUUUUGGCCAAGCAGGCCCGGGGUCGAUUUUGAUUUUUGGGGAAAGUGUUGGGAAAACCUAAAAUCAUGUAUUGAAGUUUAUUUCUUUAGCAAUAUUUGAUACUAUUGAGUUAAUUGUCGCUAGAUACGAUUGGUUCGGAGGUGGAUACUAGAGGAAAAGAGGUAAUUGAGCAUUGGGUCGCCUGCGGAGCGAGGCUCGGCACUUACCAGUAUAUGGAGUCGGUUGUACUGAUACUGCAUUCUGCACUUUCUGUUCAAAUUUCGGUACCGAUUCGAGCUGAUCUUUAGUUUAGUUGCUGGCUUCAUCUGAUCGGAGAUCCAAGAUAGACCUGUUGGCGUCCGCAGGCCCUGACGUCCCCUUCCAUACAUUCACUUUACUAUUUUUUUUGGUAUAGAAAACAGUUAUAUUUCCUUCAGACAUUUGUUGUAGUUAAAUCUUAGAAGUUCGUGGAUUAUGCUUCAGAUUCUGGGUAGCUUUAUAUAUUAAGAUUGUUAUGGAUUUCGACACUCUUUUUAACUUGUUAUGGUUUAAUUAUUAUUAAUCACUGAAAGGCUUAAGAAUUGGUUUAA